rnacentral:rRNA from 1 species
UACGAAGGGGGCUAGCGUUGCUCGGAAUCACUGGGCGUAAAGCGCACGUAGGCGGCUUCUUAAGUCAGGGGUGAAAUCCUGGAGCUCAACUCCAGAACUGCCUUUGAUACUGAGGAGCUUGAGUCCGGGAGAGGUGAGUGGAACUGCGAGUGUAGAGGUGAAAUUCGUAGAUAUUCGGAAGAACACCAGUGGCGAAGGCGGCUCACUGGACCGGUUCUGACGCUGAGGCGCGAAAGCGUGGGUAGCAAACAGG